rnacentral:misc_RNA from 1 species
UCACUAGCGUGUAGGCCUUGCUGCCUCUCUGCUACCCAUUGUCUUUUGCGCUACCUUAUUGUUUCCUCGGCGGGCUUCGCCUACCGAUUGGACAAUCAUAAAACCUUUUGUAGUUGCAAUCAGCGUCAGAAAAACAUAAUUAGUUA